rnacentral:rRNA from 1 species
UACAGAGGGUGCGAGCGUUGUCCGGAAUCACUGGGCGUAAAGGGCGCGUAGGUGGCGACCCAAGUCGAUGGUGAAAGCUCGCCGCUCAACGGCGAGUCGGCCACCGAUACUGGGUUGCUGGAGCACUGUAGAGGCUCAUGGAAUUCCGGGUGUAGCGGUGGAAUGCGUAGAGAUCCGGAAGAACACCGGUGGCGAAGGCGGUGAGCUGGGCAGUUGC